rnacentral:tRNA from 1 species
UUGGUGUUAGUUUAAUAAAACCUUAAAAUGCAAUUUUAAUAUUAGCUUAUGCUACAUCAAU